UCCCUGGUGGUCCAGUGGCUAAGACGCUGCACUCCCAAUGCAGUGGAUCUGGGUUUGAUCCCUGGUCAGGGAA
rnacentral:tRNA from 1 species